UCAGACAUGGUGUUGUGGUGACAUGGCCUCUUCAUAUCAUUGGUAUCAGUGAGUCGUAUUGGGGGCAGUCCGGGGUUCGAUUCCCUGUGUCUGAA